AUUGAACGCUGGCGGCAUGCCUUACACAUGCAAGUCGAACGGCAGCAUGGAGAGCUUGCUCUCUGAUGGCGAGUGGCGAACGGGUGAGUAAUGCAUCGGAACGUACCGUGUAAUGGGGGAUAACGUAGCGAAAGUUACGCUAAUACCGCAUACGACCUGAGGGUGAAAGCAGGGGAUCGCAAGACCUUGCGUUAUACGAGCGGCCGAUGUCAGAUUAGCUAGUUGGUGAGGUAAAGGCUCACCAAGGCGACGAUCUGUAGCGGGUCUGAGAGGAUGAUCCGCCACACUGGGGCUGAGACACGGCCCAGACUCCUACGGGAGGCAGCAGUGGGGAAUUUUGGACAAUGGGGGCAACCCUGAUCCAGCCAUGCCGCGUGAGUGAAGAAGGCCUUCGGGCUGUAAAGCUCUUUCGGCCGGGAAGAAAUCGCACAGGCUAAUACUCUGUGUGGAUGACGGUACCGGCAUAAGAAGCACCGGCUAACUACGUGCCAGCAGCCGCCGUAA
rnacentral:rRNA from 1 species